rnacentral:antisense_RNA from 1 species
CUUCACCGACCCCAGCCACAGCGGCGUUCCCCGGUCCUGACCGUAGGUCGCCAACAACGCCUGAGCCUC